AGGCGGUCUGUUAAGCUAGAUGUGAAAGCCCCGCGCUCAACGUGGGAGGGUCAUUUAGAACUGGCAGACUAGAGUCUUGGAGAGGGGAGUGGAAUUCCAGGUGUAGCGGUGAAAUGCGUAGAGAUCUGGAGGAACAUCAAUGGCGAAGGCAACUCCCUGGCCAAAGACUGACGCUCAUGCACGAAAGCGUGGGGAGCGAACAGGAUUAGAUACCCUGGUAGUCCACGCCCUAAACGAUGUCAACUAGUUGUUGGUGGAGUAAGAUCCAUGAGUAACGUAGCUAACGCGUGAAGUUGACCGCCUGGGGAGUACGGUCGCAAGAUUAAAACUCAAAUGAAUUGACGGGGGCCCGCACAAGCGGUGGAGCAUGUGGUUUAAUUCGAUGCAACGCGAAGAACCUUACCUACUCUUGACAUACUAGAAACUUUUCAGAGAUGAAUUGGUGCCUUCGGGAAUCUAGAUACAGGUGCUGCAUGGCU
rnacentral:rRNA from 1 species